AAAUGACUGCCUGAGUAGCACAGCCAGACACCUCCCGGCUCCUCAGUGCGAGAACUCGAGGUGACACUUUCAUUAUCAGUCUACCCGUUCAGUUUCUGGACUCCGUCUCCUCCUGUGGCCUGGAUAGCACUUUCCCGAAUCAGAGCUACAUACAGUAGUGGACUUGC
rnacentral:lncRNA from 1 species